UACAGAGGGUGCUAGCGUUGUUCGGAAUCAUUGGGCGUAAAGAGCGUGUAGGCGGUUAGGUAGGUCCGUUGUGAAAACUCGAGGCUCAACCUCGAGACGCCGGUGGAAACCAUCAGGCUAGAGUCCGGAAGAGGAGAGUGGAAUUCCUGGUGUAGCGGUGAAAUGCGCAGAUAUCAGGAAGAACACCCGUGGCUAAGGCGGCUCUCUAGUACGGUACUGACGCUGAGACGCGAAAGCGUGGGGAGCGAACAGG
rnacentral:rRNA from 1 species